CAGUGGCCCUCGAGGACUGGAAUUGGCCACCCCUGGAUUACACCCUGUCAGGUGCUGCAGCAUCACUUCAUCAUGAUGCACCACUUGGAAAGCUUGUUUAAGGUCCUGCUUUGAGAUGAUGCAUGUCUGUCAGAACAAAACUCCAAUUCCUGACGAGAGAGACGGCUGGUUGCGGGUCCCUGCAACAACCUCUCUCCAGGGUCAGCUGUCCCCCCAAAGAGUGAGGAGAGAGGAAGUGGUGGAGGGUUGGGUGAAGUGUGAGCCCUCUCAUGGACAUGAGUGUGGAAUCGGUGGACGGUUGGAUGAAGUGUGAGUCCUCCAGAGAACGAACCGAACUAGGGCCCCUCCCUGCUGCAGCACUCCUCCUUUUAAGGCCUCCCUCUCCAUCUCUGGGUGAUGCUGACCCCCGUGCUGACGACCUCCUUCCUCAUCAGAUGGAACCGGCAGCUGCAGCUCCUCUACCUUUCCAGUUGUCAUGUUCACAAAAGAUAACGCCUCAAAACACUUCAUUGUGUGGUGAAAAGAAACUCCUUUCUUUUAUUGGAUGUUUAAUGGCAUUUUACUUUUUAUUUCUAGGUUACUGAUGUGGUAUUUUAGUGCCUCAGGGCAGAUGAAAUUAGAAUUGCUGUUCACUGGAGAAAUGUCUCCCCUUAGAGGAAGAGAAACUAGACAGAAAGGAGGAUCUUCAUGCCAGAUGGAAAUUUGCACAGUGGUCUGCACGAUGUGCCCUUCCUGUUGAACUAGGGCCCCUUAAUGGAGCAACGGUUAUCCCCUAUGGCCCUUCCCUACUCUAUAGCCUGGUCACAUGUUUCCCCAUUGUGCAAUCUUGUCACAGCACCACCACCCUGGUAUUACGCCAAUGUCAGUAACAUAUAGUGAAUAAAAAUGAUAAGGUAUAACAAAUCAAGAUUAACACAUUGGAUAGCAUAAGACAUUAGGGUAUGAAAAAUCAACAACAAUCAGCAGAUUACUGUCUCUUAUUUGAUUACUCUCUUCCUUUGAAUGAUUUUUAUUGAUUCAACAAUAUGGCUAAUGGCCUUAUGUGAAGUCAACACAACUAAUACAAACGGUUAUGUAAGAAACUUAAUGAAUGUCAUAAUAAACAAUCACACUACUGAACUCCAGUGAUUAGAAACAAUACAAUCAAUUACAUUUCGUACUUUUGUAACAUAAACUUCAAAUGAUUAUAGGUAAGAAUCAAAAUAAUCACACGGUUAAAAUAUAUAAGGUAACUUGUAUUGAUUAUAUGGUACAGCAAACUAUCACUAACUCUGGGUCUAUGCAUUAAAGCUAUUUCUGAUUAAACUACAACUAUGAGUAAAAAUAGCACUGCACUUUAUGCGUAAAAUAUAACUUUAUUGUACCCCUUCUCAUGGAAUAAUGCGAGGUAGUUUUUGUUUAAAUGAUGCUGUUCACCACCUGACACAACAGACAAUAGUUAGCAGCACUUAGGAUAAAUGACUAGGGUCAUUUAUCAAUUUUAUGCCCUCAGGCCACAAGAAGACAUAAGACAGGAAGAAUACAGCAAGCUGCUGGUGUUUUGCAAGUCAUGAGAGUCAGCAGAUCUCACACAUUCUCAGCACCCACAACAGUAGGCACGCCCAAACUGCUUUGCCAAGCCAUCCCAUCACACCUUCCGACCACAGCUCCACUCGUGAGGUCUGGUGUGAUGAGGGCUACAUGCUCAGUGGACAGGACUAGAUAUGCUGUGACCACAACAGCCAGUGGGCAGCCAGUGUCCCAGCAUGCAAAAGUGAAGUGACCAUCAUUAUCUCAGACUAAUAAAAAUGUGUGACUUCCUUUGUUGUACUAUUUGAACCCUGUUAAUAGAUUGACUGACUGCCAUGUUUUACUGAUACUUAGUCGGCCUCAGUGUGUAGUCACAACCUGUCCCAGGCUGUGCAGCAGAUUAGAUGCAGGUCACACCUGUUUACACUUUACUUCACACUCAUUUAUGUUUGUAUUGCAAACAACACUGCCAUUCAAUGUGUGUAGGCAGGUGCUGUUUCCCCUAACUAUAAAUUAUGUCAGUGUGAUUAUUCAUACUGCCACCUCAUGUUCAUGGUAUGUUAAAUAUUAGUUCAAACUGACAUAUCCCAUACAGACACUGAUUUACUCUGAAUGGCCAUUUUGUGACUGAUGUCUGUAUUCCACCACUGUAAAAAAAUAAAAAAAUGCU